UCCGCGGCCCAUCAGGUAGACGGCGGGGUGACGGCCCACCGUGCCGACAACGGGUAGCCGGGUUGAGAGACCGACCGGCCAGAUUGGGACUGAGACACGGCCCAGACUCCUACGGGAGGCAGCAGUGGGGAAUCUUGCGCAAUGGGGGGAACCCUGACGCAGCGACGCCGCGUGCGGGACGGAGGCCUUCGGGUCGUAAACCGCUUUCAGCAGGGAAGAGUCAAGACUGUACCUGCAGAAGAAGCCCCGGCUAACUACGUGCCAGCAGCCGCGGUAAUACGUAGGGGGCGAGCGUUAUCCGGAUUCAUUGGGCGUAAAGCGCGCGUAGGCGGCCCGGCAGGCCGGGGGUCGAAGCGGGGGGCUCAACCCCCCGAAGCCCCCGGAACCUCCGCGGCUUGGGUCCGGUAGGGGAGGGUGGAACACCCGGUGUAGCGGUGGAAUGCGCAGAUAUCGGGUGGAACACCGGUGGCGAAGGCGGCCCUCUGGGCCGAGACCGACGCUGAGGCGCGAAAGCUGGG
rnacentral:rRNA from 1 species